UGGACGACUCUCGGCAACGGAUAUCUCGGCUCUCGCAUCGAUAAAGAACGUAGCGAAAUGCGAUACCUGGUGUGAAUUGCAGAAUCCCGUGAACCAUCGAGUCUUUGAACGCAAGUUGCGCCCGAGGCCAUCCGGCUAAGGGCACGCCUGCCUGGGCGUCACGC
rnacentral:rRNA from 1 species